AUUGAACGCUGGCGGCAGGCUUAACACAUGCAAGUCGAACGAGUGGCGGACGGGUGAGUAAUGCUUGGGAAUCUAGCUUAUGGAGGGGGAUAACUACGGGAAACUGUAGCUAAUACCGCGUACCAUAGGAUGAGCCCAAGUGGGAUUAGGUAGUUGGUGAGGUAAAGGCUCACCAAGCCGACGAUCUCUAGCUGGUCUGAGAGGAUGACCAGCCACACUGGAACUGAGACACGGCCCAGACUCCUACGGGAGGCAGCAGUGGGGAAUAUUGCGCAAUGGGGGAAAGCUGACGCAGCCAUGCCGCGUGAAUGAAGAAGGCCUUCGGGUUGUAAAGUACUUUCAGUAGGGAGGCGUUAACUGCAGAAGAAGCACCGGCUAACUCCGUGCCAGCAGCCGCGGUAAUAC
rnacentral:rRNA from 1 species